CACGUAGGGUGCGAGCGUUGUCCGGAAUUAUUGGGCGUAAAGAGCUCGUAGGCGGUGUGUCGCGUCGGCCGUGAAAAACCUGCAGCUUAACUGUGGGCUUGCGGUCGAUACGGGCAUCACUGGAGUUCGGCAGGGGAGACUGGAAUUCCUGGUGUAGCGGUGAAAUGCGCAGAUAUCAGGAGGAACACCGGUGGGCGAAGGCGGGGUCUCUGGGCCGAAUACUGACGCUGGAGGAGCGAAAGCGUGGGGAGCGAACAGG
rnacentral:rRNA from 1 species